rnacentral:rRNA from 1 species
GGGUUGUGAGGUUAAGCGACUAAGCGUACACGGUGGAUGCCCUGGCAGUCAGAGGCGAUGAAGGACGUGCUAAUCUGCGAUAAGCGCCGGUAAGGUGAUAUGAACCGUUAUAACCGGCGAUUUCCGAAUGGGGAAACCCAGUGUGAUUCGUCACACUAUCAUUAACUGAAUCCAUAGGUUAAUGAGGCGAACCGGGGGAACUGAAACAUCUAAGUACCCCGAGGAAAAGAAAUCAACCGAGAUUCCCCCAGUAGCGGCGAGCGAACGGGGAGGAGCCCAGAGCCUGAAUCAGCAUGUGUGUUAGUGGAAGCGUCUGGAAAGGCGCGCGAUACAGGGUGACAGCCCCGUACACAAAAGCGCAUGUGCUGUGAGCUCGAUGAGUAGGGCGGGACACGUGGUAUCCUGUCUGAAUAUGGGGGGACCAUCCUCCAAGGCUAAAUACUCCUGACUGACCGAUAGUGAACCAGUACCGUGAGGGAAAGGCGAAAAGAACCCCGGCGAGGGGAGUGAAAAAGAACCUGAAACCGUGUACGUACAAGCAGUGGGAGCACAGGUUUACCUGUGUGACUGCGUACCUUUUGUAUAAUGGGUCAGCGACUUAUAUUCUGUAGCAAGGUUAACCGUAUAGGGGAGCCGUAGGGAAACCGAGUCUUAACCGGGCGUUAAG